rnacentral:rRNA from 1 species
GAUGAACGCUAGCUACAGGCUUAACACAUGCAAGUCGAGGGGUCUUUUGGAGCUUGCUUUAAAAGACGACCGGCGCACGGGUGAGUAACGCGUAUCCAACCUGCUCUUCAUAUUGGGAUAGCCUUCCGAAAGGAAGAUUAAUACCGAAUAACAUGAGAUAGUUGCCUGAUUUUCUCAUGAAAGCUCCGGCGAUGAAGGAUGGGGAUGCGUUCCAUUAGGUAGUAGGCGGGGUAACGGCCCACCUAGCCGACGAUGGAUAGGGGUUCUGAGAGGAAGGUCCCCCACACUGGAACUGAGACACGGUCCAGACUCCUACGGGAGGCAGCAGUGAGGAAUAUUGGUCAAUGGGCGCAAGCCUGAACCAGCCAAGUAGCGUGAAGGAUGACUGCCCUAUGGGUUGUAAACUUCUUUUAUACGGGAACAAACCUUGGUACGCGUACCAAAUUGCGUGUACCGUAUGAAUAAGCAUCGGCUAACUCCGUGCCAGCCGCCGCAGUAACAC